GAAGAAGGUCAAUCGAACCGCAGACGAACCGGGGAUUGAUGAACUCUGUAUCAACGCCAUUGAAGAAGCAGUAAGAAAACAAACUCAAAGAUUGAGACUUUGUGCAGGCAAACCUCAGAGGAUAUGAGUAGGAUGAGAGGUUAAGGAGAUGUACAUUCAGAUUUACUUUGCUCGUCUUCAUCAUGAGAACUCUUAUCUACUCUCUUGCCCCUACCUGGAAACUCCAUUUGCCCCUGGUGAGUGUUUUAACUCAAUAACGGAGAGUCCUUUCUCAUUACAGAUAUCUGGUGUUCUUGUUUGCAGUUUGUAUGAACUUUGUUCAACACACAUGAAGCUUAAACCUUGUGUUCUUGAUGAAUACUCUAAAGAGGUUCGGUUGGUAUACAGUUUAUGUCUCUAGCUUUUAAAGUGAGCACCUCAAAUAUGUCAAUGCAGAGGUCAGUUAAUCCGCUUGUUAACUUUAUGCACCCUGAUGAUACUCCUGAUCCUUGAAGACCAGAGUAGGAGACUUAAGCUUGGGACUUCAGGUCAGAACAUAGAUGACCUUGACAAGUACUGAGACGCAGAAAGCAAGCUUGAUUUUGUGGAAAGAACGCUGAGGUGGAGACAUCUUGCUCCUGCUGCCCCCUAAUACACUCAGUGAGAUUUCACCCUCUUCCCCUGCACUAAGGCCUAAUACACUAUGUGUACUACAUGUUCUUGUCCUUUCACGGAUAGAGACCCUUUCUUGAUUGAAACUUUUCCUCAUGUCUACUUCGUUGGGUAUCACGACAAAUACAUACGACACCCGUUUAAUAAAAAGGAUCAGAAGGUCAGUUGGUCCGGUUGAUAUGCAUUCCUAAAUUCUAUGAGACUGGUGUUGCUGUUGCGGUGAAUCUAAGGAAUCUGGAAAUGUCAUACUAGUAGCUUUAGCAUUCAGUUAUAAGUUAAACUCUCAACACUGAAGUUGUUGCUACUUGUGUAAAAUUUUAAUCUCCAAGUUCUAACCAGAUGUAGUAUUAACUAGACUAAACACUUUUUCAGAUAGCCGUUGGAUGUUAUUGGUCGUGUUACAGUCGGAUAUAUUAUCGUGAUCUCUAGAUUUGUGUUUAACC